AGAGUUUGAUCCUGGCUCAGGACGAACGCUGGCGGCGUGCUUAACACAUGCAAGUCAAGGAGAAAGGAAGUCUUCGGAUUUCCCAGUAAACUGGCGAACGGGUGAGUAACACGUAGGCAACCUGCCUCUGGAUUGGGGAUAACUCUGCUAAAGCGGAGCUAAUACCGGAUAUUGUUUCAUUAUUGCAUAAUAGUGAAAUGAAAGUUGACUUGAUUUAUCAGGUUAAUGUCGAGAGAGGGGCCUGCGCCCCAUUAGCUUGUUGGUGAGGUAACGGCUCACCAAGGCUGCGAUGGGUAGCCGACCUGAGAGGGUGAACGGCCACACUGGGACUGAGAUACGGCCCAGACUCCUACGGGAGGCAGCAGUGAGGAAUAUUGCGCAAUGGCCGAAAGGCUGACGCAGCAACGCCGCGUGGGUGAUGAAGCUCUAAGGAGCGUAAAGCCCUGUUAGGAGGGAAGAACAGCAUUGAUGUAAAUAAUGUCAAUGUUUGACGGUACCUCCAGAGAAAGCCCCGGCUAACUCCGUGCCAGCAGCCGCGGUAAUACGGGGUGGGCAAGCGUUGUCCGGAAUUAUUGGGCGUAAAGAGCGCGUAGGCGGAAAAACAAGUCAGAGGUGAAACCCACAGGCUUAACUUGUGGCCUGCCUUUGAAACUGUUUUUCUUGAGUAUGGAAGAGGAAAGUGGAAUUCCUGGUGUAGCGGUGAAAUGCGUAGAUAUCAGGAAGAACACCGGUAGCGAAGGCGGCUUUCUGGUCCAUAACUGACGCUGAGGCGCGAAAGCGUGGGGAGCAAACAGGAUUAGAUACCCUGGUAGUCCACGCCGUAAACGAUGGGUACUAGGUGUUGGUUUACUAACGUGAAUCAGUGCCGAAGCUAACGCAUUAAGUACCCCGCCUGGGGAGUACGAUCGCAAGGUUGAAACUCAAAGGAAUUGACGGGGGCCCGCACAAGCGGUGGAGCAUGUGGUUUAAUUCGAUGCAACGCGAAGAACCUUACCUGGGCUUGAACUGAAGACGACAAUCACUGAAAGGUGACUUUCCCUUCGGGGACGUCUUUAGAGGUGCUGCAUGGCUGUCGUCAGCUCGUGCCGUGAGGUGUUGGGUUAAGUCCCGCAACGAGCGCAACCCUUGCCCUUAGUUGCCAUCAGAUAAUGCUGGGAACUCUAAGGGGACUGCCCCGGAUAACGGGGAGGAAGGUGGGGAUGACGUCAAGUCCUCAUGGCCCUUACGUCCAGGGCUACACACGUGCUACAAUGGUCGGUACAGCGGGAAGCAAUAUCGCGAGGUGGAGCAAAUCCCUCAAAACCGGCCUCAGUUCGGAUUGUAGUCUGCAACUCGACUACAUGAAGUUGGAAUCGCUAGUAAUCGUGGAUCAGCAUGCCACGGUGAAUACGUUCCCGGGCCUUGUACACACCGCCCGUCACGCCAUGGAAGUCGGUAGCACCCGAAGCCGGUGGCCCAAUCUUUCGAGAAGGGAGCCGUCUAAGGUGAGAUCGAUGACUGGGGCGAAGUCGUAACAAGGUA
rnacentral:rRNA from 1 species